AAGAAACGAAUGAUAGAAGAGGUGGCAGGUCCCUUGUGCCUUGAAGAGCUAGGACAUGACUGCAAAGGCCAUAGAGUGGAAGGGCCCAUGGGCCUGGGCAAAAGACUGAAAGAGAUGGCUGGGGAAGCAGAGGGUGAUCAGCUGAGAUGGGACUGAAACAUACAUCAGCUCUGAGGACUUGGACUUGUGUCACUGGUGACACACCAAACAGUUUGAGUGGAGUGAUUUGGCUAAUUCCAGGCAAUGAAAGAGCCAUGGAUGACAUUUAUUGAGCGCUCAUUGUAUGGCAGGCACUGUUGUGACCGUCCUAACAACUUGCAAGGCAGAGAUUACCUCAUGUGAAUCACACCAGACAAUGUGAUGUUGACUAGCAGUUGGAACAGGCAAGGUGUUAACUGGCUCUUGAGUGUCUGAGGAAGCCCACAUCCCUUUGAAUCUGGAAGGUUUGGGAAAGCAGCAGCUCCAGGAGAGUGGGGACAUCUGCUGUCCUGCCAGGCAGGAGCUGCUUUAGAGGCUAAGAAGCUCAAGAUUAAGGUGCUAGCAGAGCUGGUGUCUUUCUGGGAAACAGAUGGCUGCUUUUUUCUGUGUCCUCUCGUGGAGGAGCUCAGGAAAAGAGAGGAGAAGCAAGGACACUCAUCCCAUUUACGAGAGCUCCACCUUCAGGACCCGUCACCCACAGAUCCUACCUCCUAACACCGUAACCUUGGGAGUUAGGAUUUUGGAGGUACACAAAUAUUUCAGUCCAUAGCAAACGCCAAAGCCCAACCUCAGACCCAUGUUGCUCCCGUCCUGACUUCCCAUUAACUCCUACACCUUCAACUUGUGUGCUACCCCUAAACCCUCCCACCCAAGUCUCUGCCAGUUGCCAUCAGACCUGCCACUCUCCCUUCAUCCGCAGCACAGGACAGUUAUGAGCCCCAGCUCGAGACUUUCUUGCUGUGCCUGUUUCCUGUCUGCACAGUGGGGCUAAUGAUGCCCCUUCCGCCCACUGCUGUUACAUUAGAUGAGGUAAUGCAUGGGAAACAGGGCACUGCCUGGCACACCAUAAAUCUAAAUGCAUUUUCUCAUCAGCUCACAGAUCUGGAGAACCUGGCAGGUGCUGGGCACACUGUGGCUCCCAAAGGAUGCUUCAGGAAACAGUCAGGCAUGUGGAAGCCAGGUUCUCUCUCUGGCACUGUCUAUAUUGCUGAGAAAUGCCCAGUGCAGCCAGGUCGGAAGCUGACAGGAGCACGGGGCUCUGUUCCCUCCCUGGGGUGCUCACAGGAGGUCAUGGAGUUGGGAGCAGGGGCUAGGCUCUGACAGGCCUGUGCCAGGGUCCCUGCUCAGGCAGUAUGGCUGUUUGGCCAGGGACUGUGUGCCCCUCCACGCCCCAGUGUCUUCCCUUGGAGCAUGCUGUCUGUCGCUGCUGUGAGGACCAUGUGUUCAGGCAUUUCUCUAAAGCAGGCAUGGAGCGGUUCAGGGAGCACAGCAAAGGCCCUGCUGCUGUGGAGCUGGCAUUCUGGGAUGAUGGGCAGUGGACAGAUAAAGGGGUGAUGAAUGUAGUGGAAUGAAAAGAAAAAAAAAAGAAUGUAGCAGAAUGCAUGUCUUGAGGAUGGAUAACACAGGGGCAGGGAGAUGAAGAGGGUGGGGAUUUUUUGGGCACAGGGUGGUCAGGAAGGCCAUGCUGAUAAGGUAACACUUGGGAGGAGACCUAAACAAUGAAACCAGGUACAGUACUAGGGACUGAACUCAGGGCUUCACACCUGGUUGGCAAGCACUUUACCACUUUACCUGAACUUUACUGUCCCUUCUUUU